rnacentral:rRNA from 1 species
ACGGAAGGCAGCAGUGGGGAAUAUUGGACAAUGGGGGAAACCCUGAUCCAGCGACGCCGCGUGAGUGAAGAAGUAUUUCGGUAUGUAAAGCUCUAUCAGCAAGGAAGAAAAUGACGGUACUUGACCAAGAAGCUCCGGCUAAAUACGUGCCAGCAGCCGCGGUAAUACGUAUGGAGCAAGCGUUAUCCGGAUUUACUGGGUGUAAAGGGAGCGUAGACGGCAAAGCAAGUCUGAAGUGAAAUCCCGGGGCUCAACCCCGGAACUGCUUUGGAAACUGUUUAGCUGGAGUGCAGGAGAGGUAAGCGGAAUUCCUAGUGUAGCGGUGAAAUGCGUAGAUAUUAGGAGGAACACCAGUGGCGAAGGCGGCUUACUGGACUGUAACUGACGUUGAGGCUCGAAAGCGUGGGGAGCAAACAGGAUUAGAUACCCUGGUA